AGAGUUUGAUCCUGGCUCAGGAUGAACGCUAGCGGUAGGCUUAACACAUGCAAGUCGAGGGGUAACGAUAUCUUCGGAUAGGCGACGACCGGCGCACGGGUGAGUAACGCGUAUGCAACCUACCCAUUGCUGGAGGAUAGGCCGAAGAAAUUCGGAUUAAUACUCCAUAAUAUCAUUUGAUCACAUGUUCUUAUGAUUAAAGUUUCGGCGGCAAUGGAUGGGCAUGCGUGACAUUAGUUUGUUGGUGAGGUAACGGCUCACCAAGACUGCGAUGUCUAGGGGGUCUUAAAGGAUGAUCCCCCACACUGGUACUGAGACACGGACCAGACUCCUACGGGAGGCAGCAGUGAGGAAUAUUGGUCAAUGGGCGAAAGCCUGAACCAGCCAAUCCGCGUGCAGGAUGACGGCCCUAUGGGUUGUAAACUGCUUUUGUACGAGAAGAACUUCCUGACGUGUCAGGAGCUGACGGUAUCGUACGAAUAAGCAUCGGCUAACUCCGUGCCAGCAGCCGCGGUAAUACGGAGGAUGCGAGCGUUAUCCGGAUUUAUUAGGUUUAAAGGGUGCGUAGGCUGAACAGUCAGUCAGUGGUGAAAUCCUGCGGCUUAACCGUAGAACUGCCAUUGAUACUACUGUUCUUGAGUACAGUUGAGGUAGGCGGAAUGUGUAGUGUAGCGGUGAAAUGC
rnacentral:rRNA from 1 species